rnacentral:lncRNA from 1 species
GUCUUGAACAACAUUGAGACUAUCAGGCGUGCCCUCCAGCUGGCUCUGGACCGGCGGCAGGCUGGGGGAAGGGCUGGUGCCUGACCAGAUGAAAGUCAGAGGAGUGUGAUUAGAUGAGAUGGAGGACCUUAAGCCAGACCACACUGAGGGAGAGUGAAGACUUUAAGGAGUUUCUGUUUCCCACUUCUCCUUCCCAGAGGGGAUGGGACAGUUCAUCUCUCUGAGUGCUUGGGGAUUCUGUGCAGGACAGAACAGAGUUCAUAUUUUAUUGGGGUAUAGAGAAAACCAGACAGCAGCUUCAUCAGAGAACCCACUCCUCACCACAGAAGGACCUCUGGAAACAACCCAGGUACUCAGAGCUUCACCACAGAGAGCUGUGGGCUGAGGAACCAGCUGUCCUCCUACUGAUACAGAACGGCAAUGGCUCGCACUUCCACAGAGUGCCCAGCUCUGACCUGAUCCCCUGGACUCAGUGAUGUCAGUAAACAGGAUCUAUGUGUGUUGCCA